GAGUGUUCUCCAUAAUCGUUGUACUAAUUUCAUUCCCACCAACAGUGUACGCGGAUUAUUAGAUUUUCUCCAAUAGAGUUGUUUGAGCUCCUUGUAUAUUAUACUGGUUAUUAAUCCCUUCUCAGAUGGGUAGUUUGCAAAUAUUUUUUCCCAUUUUGUGGGUUGUGUCUUCACUUUAGUGGUUGUUUCCUUUGCUGUGCAGAAGCUUUUUAACUAGUCGUGCAUGAUCCCAUUUGUCCAUUUUUGCUUUGGAUGCCAGUGCUUCUCGGGUAUUACUCGAGAAAUUUUUGCCCAGAACAGUAUCCUGGAGCGUUUCCCCGGUGUUUUCUUUUAGAAGUUUCAUAGGCUGACAUCUCAGAUUUACGUCUUUAAUCCAUUCUGAUUUGAUUUUUAUAUAAGAUGAGAGAUAAGGGUCAAGUUUCAUUCUUCUCCAUAGGGAUACCCAGUUUUCCCAGCACCAGCGCCAUUUAUUGAAGAGACUGUCCUUUUUCCAAUGUAUGUUCUUGGCACCUUUGUCAAAAAUGAGUUCACUGUAGGUGUGUGGAUUUGUUCCUGGGUUGCCUAUUCUGUCCCAUUGGUCUAUGGGUCUGUUUUAAUGUCAGUACCUUGCUGAUUUGGUUACUAUAGCUCUGUAGUAUAAUUUGAAGUCCGGUAAUGUGAUUCCUCCAGUGUUGUUCUUUUUUGCUCAGGAUAGCUUUGGCUAUUCUGGGCCUUUUGUGGUACUAUAUACAUUUUAGGAUUGCUUUUCCUAUUUCUGUAAAGAAUGUCACUGGUGUUUUUGUAGGGAUUGCAUCAAAUCUGUG
rnacentral:lncRNA from 1 species